rnacentral:rRNA from 1 species
CGCGUAGGUGGCCAAUUAAGUCAAAUGUGAAAUCCCCCGAGCUUAACUUGGGAAUUGCAUUCGAUGCUGGUUGGCUAGAGUAUGGGAGAGGAUGGUAGAAUUCCAGGUGUAGCGGUGAAAUGCGUAGAGAUCUGGAGGAAUACCGAUGGCGAAGGCAGCCAUCUGGCCUAAUACUGACACUGAGGUGCGAAAGCGAUAGGGAGCAAACA